CAGGUGUUUCAAGACGAAAAGACGAAGAUUUCCAAGGACUAGAGUGAUGAUUGCCUCCAAGUAAACUGAGCAGAACGGAACGGAACGGAACGAAACGAAAGGAGCGCCGGAUGCCAGCGGAAAGUUAAAGGAAACGCAGCCCAGAUACGGAACACAAGCGGUUUGGCACAUAAGAAGAUAUACACGGGAUACACGGGAUACAAGGAGGCAGAGGCAGAGGACGGGACUCGGGAGUCAGGACGAUGCUGCCAGAACAACGACGUUGCCUAGCACAUAUGCCAAAUGGUGGGAAGGGGAAGGAGCAAGGAUGGAGCCGGAAUAAAACAAAAGAGAGAAGAUGCAAAUCGGUCGCCUGGAUGUCUGCCAGCUCCACGCCGUAGAUCUCUCUUUAAAAGUGUCUCGAAAGUGGUGCAAUAAAACGAGGUGAGCCGUUGAAGUUCAGACAGACAUCAGGAGCCAGCCAGGAGCUCCACCGACAGAGCAUCGAAAUGGAUAUUCAUUCGUAAUUAUGAGCCAAUGGACAACGGAAUUGUGCAAAUUUGAGAUGAGAGUGGAGAGAAUGGUUAGCAAAAUGCCAGAGCAAAUUAUUCGUGAUGUGACAACAUGAUUCCAAUGAAAUAACUCAAAGGAAGU